UACGUAGGCAGCGAGCGUUGUUCGGAAUUACUGGGCGUAAAGAGUGUGUAGGCGGUGCUCUAAGUUUGGCGUGAAAUCUCCCGGCUCAACUGGGAGGGUGCAUUGAAAACUGGGGUGCUCGAGGGUGGGAGAGGUAAGCGGAAUUCCUGGUGUAGCGGUGAAAUGCGUAGAUAUCAGGAGGAACACCUGUGGUGUAGACAGCUUACUGGACCACUUCUGACGCUGAGACACGAAAGCGUGGGUAGCAAACAGG
rnacentral:rRNA from 1 species